UACGGGAGGGGCAAGCGUUGUUCGGAAUUACUGGGCGUAAAGGGCGCGUAGGCGGUUUGCUAAGUUGGAUGUGAAAACUCUGGGCUUAACCCAGAGCCUGCAUCCAAAACUGGCAAACUUGAGUACUGGAGGGGAAAGCGGAAUUCCUGGUGUAGCGGUGAAAUGCGUAGAUAUCAGGAGGAACACCGGUGGCGAAGGCGGCUUUCUGGACAGUAACUGACGCUGAGGCACGAAAGCGUGGGGAGCAAACAGG
rnacentral:rRNA from 1 species